rnacentral:lncRNA from 1 species
CUUCCCUCCCUUUCUUCCUCCCUCCCUCCCUACCUACCUUUCCGUGUCCUUUCCUUCCUGGGAGAGGCUUCAGAGCAAACAUUAAGAUAUUUUUCCCAGUGCAUCUCCAACAGUCUACUAUUAGAAGAUGAAAUACAGACCCAGAGAAUUCAGAUGUCACCUUCCCCAAAGUGACUUGCGUGGGGGAAAGAUGCUCUGGAAAGCUAGACAAGUGUCCUCCUGAUUUAACAUCAUUCACCUUUCCAUAAUGGGCUCUGCACAGCACAGGGGCUGGUUCAGACAGGAAGUAUUGGACUAGCACUUAGAGGACAACAGAAGAGAUGCAGUCCAAGUAGUUUUCUAGGUUCUUCAGAGCACGGAAAAAGGCUGUGGCCUCCCUGGGAAAGAGGUUCUCUCAUGGAGAAAAACAAAAUCAUCUUGGAUCUCCUCAGGCAACUAAAUGGUGUCUAUCCAGCAAACACAUCCACACAGGCCAGUGUUGAGAUGGCUAUAUCAUACAGGCAAGUCAAUCAGUCCUGUGAUGGUUCCAAGGCAGCCAAAGUAUGUAGGAACGAGGUGGCCAUCCUUCAUCUUGUGGGUAGAACAAGUUCUCCUGGUAGAGAGCCCAAGGGCUUGGCUGAGGAGAGAAGAGCUGGAAGGAUCUUGAGAAGCAUUGGCUAUGUCUGCUUUCCCGCUUGUUUUGAGGGAUCUGAACAGUAUCUGCCAAGACUUACCAGAUCUGAACCCUCAAGCAAUGGGAGUCAGGAAAAGGGGGAGUGAGAAGAGAGGUACUUCUGCAAGGCAGUGGCUCUGUUCCCUGAGAUAAAAGGCCUUCUGCCAUCUCUCCACAAGUCUUCCAAUCCCUACAAUAGAAGGUCUUCCCCAGUUUGGCCAAGGAAAUUUGGCAAACCCUCCAAGGUUUGGUGAGACAAGGUUGAGUGCUUCCCUGGAUCGUCCCACCACUAGCAUGAUGGACCAUGAGGCUUGCCUGAAGGUAAUUAGCUGAUGGGCCUGGAUUUACGUCAGCCACUUCAGGAAACUUACACUCUGGGCCAUUCACUAAAGAUCCCAGCUGACAGCUGUCACUUCAUACAGAGUGUAGCAAAGACCAAAGGCAUCACAAGAGACUACCAGCUUCAACAGGGAACAGAGCUGGUGGAGUUGAUCAUCUUUCUGGCAGUUUCCAACAUGUUGAGGAAAAGGGAUGGAAAGAAUAGAAGAACAGCUACAGAAAAAUUCAAAAACGCAUGUGGAAUGAAAAGAACCCUGUGUGUAAAGUGGACUUCAGCAAGCUUGGGCUCUUAGAACCGUUUAUAAAUCCAGCCCUGAGGCAAAUGCUACUUGCCCAGAUGAAGACUCCAGGUGGAAGUCCUGUGCCUUCUGAAUUUGUUCUAAGGUCUUCGGCCAAGCUCAGCCAGACGACUUCUGGAACUCUAGGCACCAAGUCAACCUUUACUCCACCAAGCAAAGGGCUCCUCAGUGCGUACGAUGAGACAUAACCAUUAGUGUGCAGCUUCUGCUAAAUCUUCUACGUGGGAAGGGAGUAGAGAGUUCUAUUCUUAGUUCUACCACUAAGUUAUCAUGGGAUGGUGACCCCCGCCACCAGAUUCCUUAUUGCUGGUGACAAAAACUAGAGAGAAAAAUCUUUAACACCCAGCAAAAGUAUAACCAUUCCAAAUAGUUUAUAAUGAUUUCUUUUUCUGGGAAAAUAAUGUCCAACAGAAAUAACAUGAGAAAAGCAGUGGAAAAAUGCAUGAGCAUGUCAAAGUCUCCCCCAUCUCCACUGUCCCAUAAUAUCAAAUCACAUCACAGAGAAGAAAAUAGAAAGAAAAAUGUGUCUCCAGAGAGUCAACAGCUCAAGCCCUCUGUCCCAUAGAAAUAAUCGUUAUACCAAAGCACCAUAUCAGGAGACUACACUUUUGUUUUAUUCAACUGGUUAAUGGUCAAAGAGAUUCAAAAGAGAGCAUCUUCCUUUAUUUUUCUCUUUCUUUUCUUGUUUUCUUGAGACAGGGUUUCUCUGUGUAUUUCUGUCUGGCCUGGAAAUGGCUCUGUAGACCAGACUGACAUCAAACUCACAGAGAUCAGCCUGCCUCUGCUUCCUGAGUGAUGGGAUUAAAUAUGUGUGCCUCCACUGCCCAGUGAGAAAAAAAACUUUCUAUAGCUCUUAAAAGUUAUCUUAUUAUUCUCACUCUGCAUCUUUUAAUACACAGUCUAGGUGGAGUGUCUGAAUGAGACUUACAUUGGUAGGCAAACAGGAAUGGUCCUGGGGUUCACAGCAACACCUGCAUCAGGUUGAACCUCACAAUGCUCUAGUGCUCCUAAUGGAAAGAUCAAGCCAGCAAAAUGGAGAAAGAAGUCCUUUGAUGCUGGCCUAACCAAGAUGCUGGGCAAGGUUCUGAGUUCCUGGUUAGUGAGAGCUUGGUUUGGUGUAACUUUCCCAGUGACUGUCUCUGUGGCCAGGAGGGUAGGUUAAGGGGAAGGACUCCAAGAACCUUGGUUCAGACUGCAUUCUGUUUCACACAUCCAUUAGUUCCAUUUCCUCUGGCAAGCUACUGGGCCUCAGUUUCCUUGUAUGUAAAAUAUAGACAUAAAGUACUUAACACCUAUAUCAUUGACUCCAUAAUAUUAAACAUCAUCACUAUUUUUAUUGCCUUGGGCUACCAUGAUAAAACAUCAUAGAAUGUCUAGCUUAAACAACAUAUUUGGCUGGCUUAAACAACCCUAGAAAUCAAGAUCCAGAUCACAUUGGUGGAUUGUUUGAUUCUUGGUAUCAUUGCGCAAUGAGAGCAGUUGGCGCACUAGGGGAUGUUCCAAACCAGUGCAGUUAAGCAAAGAAAACUAUUAAGGUAUCAUAUGAUGGUUUGGUGGUUAUAAUCAGAUGAGUAAUUAUCGUGCACUGUAAUUAGUGAAAGGAAAACAAUAUACUAAAACUAAAAAUAGCAAUAAUGACAUCUGCUAUAAAACUUCUGGUGGAUCAGGGAGUUGGAAUGAACUACCCUAGGAAUCAUAUUAUUUUCAUCCCAAUUCUACUAUUCUUUAAAAAAAACAGUAAAGUUACUGAACAGAUGUAGCCUUCAUUUUUUAUUUGCAUGAUGAAGGUCAUAAUGAACUGUCUUAUCUUGUAUAGUUCAUGGAAAUCUACAAGAAAAUAGAUGAUUUUUUUGGGGGGAACCCUUAAAAACCAUAAUCUGUAGUUAAUAAAAGGAGUCCCAAAUAUUGCAGGAAUGUUCCCCUUACUCUCACUGGGCCUUGGUUUUCUUAGUUUUGUUAGCAAUGCCUUAGAAUUGUCCCUCACACAUGGUGGCAUAAGGGUCCAUGCUACAGGAGAAAUCUCACAAACACCUGAAGAUAUAUCUGUGUGCCCACAAGUUUUGAAAGGCUCCAAUGUAACAAACAUUCACUUCAGGAAGUAGUCUCCACACAUCCAAUGUUUUUCAGUUGUAAAUCAGUAAUACAAACAAGGGAAGUCUAUUUUUCUAGAAUAGCCAUAUAUAUACAUAUAUACAUAUAUACAUAUACAUAUAUAACUUUAUGAUCAAUAUGAAAACCACAAAAUUAGAAGAAAAAAAUUUAGGGUUCUGUGAUGCUGGAGAACAGAUCUGUGUACCUGAUCCAGGUGGGAUGGGAGACAGUGUCAAUUUCACUGCCUGAGUCUGUGGUUUUGUGGGUGACUCACAAACCUGGCUCAUCUGCUGAGCCAUUAAACUCCUAGAGAGAGAAAGAAAUGUAUCUCUUUGACUCAUUCAGGCAUUUUUCAUAGAGGAUAUACUCAAUGAUACCUGAUUAAAUCAUUAAUGCAAACAAGGGAAGUAAAACUGGAUGAUGUCAUUUAAAAUCAUAAGCACAUUUGAAUCCCAUCUUUGUAUUAAGCUAGUGCUUCAAUGUUAACUAACACCCACACACACCUCCAUCCAAGCCAUCCUCCAGUGGGGAAGCCAGCAGCUUUGACAAAAACAGACCUUUUGAACUGAAUGUUUCAGCUUCUGAUUAGUUAAAUAACGGGGUCUUUGCUUUCAGUCAAGUUGAUGAUGCAAAGGAGUGGUUUAAACAAAAAUAAUUGCAGGGAGAAGUCUAAAGCCCAAAUCCUUGUUCCUGGAUUUCCGGUCCUGCACCAUUAAGGUCCACUUCUUCCUGCCUCCCUGCCACCCUGAAUCCACUGCCUCACCCCUAGAAUACCAUCACCCCCAGUUCUUUGCUUGACUGUCUUCUCUAUGUGCCAGCUUCUCCUCUAGUGUGCCUUUGUUGACCGUUGAGACCCUCUGUUUAAGUCAAUACAUCCAUGCUUUCAUUUCCUGCCUUAUGUCUUCUACUUGAAAACCACUUAUUCAUAGUAGUCGGGUGAUUAUUUAAUUCCUCCUUUCUCCUUAGACUACAAUCUGCAGGAGAGCAGAAAUUGAGUCUAUUUUGUACAUGACUGCCUCCUUGAGAGUUAGCACGGGACCUGGCCUUUAACAAGCAUCUGAGUGAACAUAGGCAAUGGAAAAGCAAAGAAGGGCUGUUUAUAAAACGUUUCAUAUGUACAGAGCACUGUGUUAGAUAAGUAGCUGGAAAAUUACUCAGUCUUCAAAUGAAGAUGCACACACACACACUCCACCAAACUAGGAUUUCUCUUUUAAAAUCUAUUGCCUGUCAAACAUGGAAGCAUAAACCAGAUUGACUAAAAUCGGACCUACUCAAGGGCCUUGCUUCAUAUUGUUUCCAAGAGAUUAUGGAUCAGACAAGAUCCCAUCAACGAAGCAGUCAGUCAGGAAAUGAGAGCUUGAUAAAUUUCUGAAGGUGAGUUGCCUUACAAGGGCAGGGUCCAGCUACACUGGCAGCAUCUACUAUCCAGUCAAAGAGCAACACAGUGAGAGACUGUCUCUGCAGUGUGCGACCCUGGAGAAAUGCUGAGUGUGGAAAUUCCCCUCAAGUUCCUCUGAGCCAAGUACUUGCCGAGCAAGCCCCAAGGAUCUGAGUUCAGAUCUUCAGAAUCCACUGGAAAGCUCUAAGCAACGGUGUCUUUAAUCCUGGUGCUCCCCUAGCAGGACACGGGAGGAGGAAACUGAAAAAUCUCCAGAAGCCUUUUGGCCAGCUAGUCUGGCUUACACAACAGCAAAGAAGGCCUGUCUCAAACAAUUGGGGAGUUGAGGGUGGACACUGGAGGGUUACACUAUGACAACUCUAUAUGCAUGUGCUCAUAUCACAGCCACCAUACACAUUCAUAUACAGGUAAGAGAGAAGGGGAGGGAGGG